GCAGGCCUAACACAUGCAAGUCGAGCGGUAGAAGGAAGCUUGCUUCCUUUGAGAGCGGCGGANGGGAGAGUAAUGCCUAGGAAUCUGCCUGGUAGUGGGGGAUAACGUUCGGAAACGGACGCUAAUACCGCAUACGUCCUACGGGAGAAAGCAGGGGACCUUCGGGCCUUGCGCUAUCAGAUGAGCCUAGGUCGGAUUAGCUUGUUGGUGAGGUAAUGGCUCACCAAGGCAACGAUCCGUAACUGGUCUGAGAGGAUGAUCAGUCACACUGGAACUGAGACACGGUCCAGACUCCUACGGGAGGCAGCAGUGGGGAAUAUUGGACAAUGGGGGAAAUCCUGAUCCAGCCAUGCCGCGUGUGUGAAUAAGGUCUUAGGAUUGUAAAGC
rnacentral:rRNA from 1 species